AACGCUGGCGGCAGGCUUAACACAUGCAAGUCGAGCGGGCGUAGCAAUACGUCAGCGGCAGACGGGUGAGUAACGCGUGGGAACGUACCUUUUGGUUCGGAACAACACAGGGAAACUUGUGCUAAUACCGGAUAAGCCCUUACGGGGAAAGAUUUAUCGCCGAAAGAUCGGCCCGCGUCUGAUUAGCUAGUUGGUGGGGUAACGGCCUACCAAGGCGACGAUCAGUAGCUGGUCUGAGAGGAUGAUCAGCCACAUUGGGACUGAGACACGGCCCAAACUCCUACGGGAGGCAGCAGUGGGGAAUAUUGGACAAUGGGGGCAACCCUGAUCCAGCCAUGCCGCGUGAGUGAUGAAGGCCCUAGGGUUGUAAAGCUCUUUUGUGCGGGAAGAUAAUGACGGUACCGCAAGAAUAAGCCCCGGCUAACUUCGUGCCAGCAGCCGCGGUAAUACGAAGGGGGCUAGCGUUGCUCGGAAUCACUGGGCGUAAAGGGUGCGUANGCGGGUUUUUAAGUCAGGGGUGAAAUCCUGGAGCUCANCUCCNGAACUGCCUUUGAUACUGAAGAUCUUGAGUCCGGGAGAGGUGAGUGGAACUGCNAG
rnacentral:rRNA from 1 species